UAGAGACUCAUCCAGUUUCAUAGUUUACUCUGCUGCACGUCUGCGGGGGGGGGGGCUUAGUUUUUAUAGAUCCAGCUUCUUCAUUUUGCUCUUAAAGCAGAACGAUCUCCGGAUGUCAGAUUGGGGGGGUUGGGUUUGAAUGAGAAGUGGACGGGUUUAGAUUUAUCAAUCGUCCAGUGGUAGCAGCGCAGACGUGUUAGUCCCGCCCGCUGACCCUGAUUGGCUGGCUUCACGGCUCCAUCUCGAGUGGCAGGUUCAAAGACGUCUUUUUAAAUGUUCUAAAUUUAGGGUGAAAUAUAUCGUAAGAAUAAAUCCAAGACUGAGCUCUAAUGCAAAACUUUAAAUCAAGAGGACUUCCUCAACUUCAACACUCCACCUGCCAUCAGCACCCCGCCCCCCCCCAUCCCCCCGACACACACCCUGGCAGCAUGCUGCCCCACACCAGCCGUCUGCAUCUCACCUCCCAGCAGCACAGCAUGGUACUGGAGACGCCACUCAGUCCACCUGGGGGGUGAGAGGCUGGAGAGGGAAUUAGAGUUUUGUUUUGUAUUUCUGCUCAGGGUGAGUACGGGCAGGUAGACGAGGCGGCUGUGUGUGUACGUGUGAGCAUGGCCUUACAUCUUAAUCUGAGCAUGGGGAUGUGACGCCUCCUGUGUGACCUGUGACGGGAACAUGUAUAUGUAAUGAUCACGUUAGCAGCAUUAGUGUUAGCGCUCUGCUAACCCGGCGUGCAGCGCAGCAGAGGACACGGGAGGAGUUUGUUAAGAAGCUCUUCACCAGGUGUGUGAUCGGAAUCAGACAGCUGGACAAACAUGUUCACAUCUGUUCUUUAACUCAUCCAGCAGGAGGGAAUCUUUCAUGAACAACACUGUCGUCAUGUAAACACUAAACAUUAUUCCUGCUGAACCUGCACAAACACUUUUUACACAAAGACUUUGAGCGUUUGGAUAACAUGCAGAUAAGCAUCGCCUGCACAGCUGCAGAUAACAUGGUGCCAGUUAACGGCAGAGCAGGGGGGGGAGCAGGUUGUAGCAGCGAGUUCAUCCCUGCAGCUCUAUUCAAAAUCUACUUUUCAAAUCAAAUGCACAACAGUCAGAUUGACCUGAGUCUCCCGUGUACAGAGCCCGCUGUGUGCGGGAGACGGUGGAAGCUGCAGGAGAGGUUCUGAGUCCAGCAGUGACCCGUGUGUGUCUCCCUGCAGGAACUGUGGUAACGUGUUCUGCGCCAGCUGCUGCGACCAGAAGAUCCCCGUGCCAAGCCAGCAGCUGUUCGAGCCGACCCGCGUCUGUAAGACCUGCUACGGCAGCCUGAAGCUCAGCCCGGCCCCCCUGGAUCUGGAGCUGGAGCUAGAGAAACCCAUCACGGCCAGCUCCACCUGAGCCUCAGAGGAGCGGGACGGGGCGAGCCGCCGACACCACACGGGCGCACCGCUGCACAGAAUGUCCCAUGUACUUUAUGUGUGUGUGCUGCAGGUGUGGAGUUUAACGUGUAUAUACAGAGGAGCCGGAUCACCUGACGCUGAGUGUGCACAGUGACAGAAAAGAAGAAGCAGAAUCCAGGUCAAAGUGCGGCUGUAAGUUAGUCAUGCUCACUGACGUGACGGAGGGAGGCGGUCCUACCGGCGCUAAGGAAACGACACUAGACUUCAUAUCACUGCACAGAAACGGGACGUCUGCAGCACAAGCAGCAGCUGACAGCGAGCUGCGGCGGCGGCGGCAUCAGAGCUGCACGCUUCGGGAUCUUAGGUUUGCUAAAAAGAACAACACGAGGAACACUUGGAGCGAAACAUUGCUUAAUAUUUUACAAAGUAUGGCCGGCGACUGUCAAUAAAGCAAUUAUAUAUCAAAAGCUAUGGAGUCACGAGGACCGUGUGAUCCACGUGGUCGUGACCUCUGUUCCAAUCUCAGACUCCCUCAUCAUGAUUUAAGCGAGAAACCCCCCCGUACUAAAGAUUCUGAUGCAGUGUUGAUAGAACAGCUUCAUUAAUCUCCCUGCAACAUCUUUACAAACUCAUUUUAAAAAAAAUAGACCUGGCUUCACCGCCGACUUCCCUUUAUAAAACUCACACAGCGAUAUGUACAACUUUGAACACAUGAAGAUUCUCUUCUUCUGCAGAUCAGUGCAGCGUCCCUGUCACCAAGUCUACUGUGUCGCUCCCCCCGUCAGAGCACGCGGCAGAGAAGAGGAUUGUCACAGGAGACGUGUGUGUGUGUGUGUGUGUGUGUGUGUGUGUGUUUGCACUCAGAGUUGAUUUCCCAAAGAGGGGUUUCCCAAAGUUUCUCUUCAACCUCGUCAGGAGCAGCGCGGAGCUUGAUUCACACCGAUGACUGAUCCCAAACCUGCAAGACAACGACAGGGUCACAUGACGUCACCAUGUGAUGACAUCACGUGAUGACGUCGUCACAUGCUGAUCGUGGACACAGGAAGAGAAGAAGCGUCGGCACCUUGUUGACGGGGGCGAGCUGAGUCCGGACCGACCCGGCGUGAAGCCGGCCGCUGUCUCCGAACCUCCCGGGCGAUCUCUCCCUGCGGCCGUCGAGCACCCUGCCCGGCGACUUCUCGCGGUCCAGCGGUCGGGCGGGAGACUUGUCCCGUCUGAACUCGGUGCGGCCCUCCCGGUAACGAUGGGGCGUGCUGGGCUCCCGAUGCAAACCGUCAUGGCUGCCGGGGCCCGAGGUCAAACGCUUGGAGAUGUGCUCCGUGUAGGUGGGCGGGCCGCGCUUACUGGGACUGCUGUGGGAACAUCAACAGUCUCAUUUCAAUGACCCUGAACAGUCGGUGGUUCCCAACCUGAGGGUCUGGACCCCACUAGGGUCCACCAGAGGCGUUACAGGAGGACAACAGGAUGUCUGAAACUAAAUGAAAGAUUUAUUCUCUGAAGUUUGGAUUAAUAUUUAGAGAUUUAGAGCUUUAAGAGCUUUAAGAGCCGCAUCAGGGAGAAGAUUAUUAAAAUAAAUACAUAAAACAGACAGAACUGUAUUAAAAUAACAGAAAACUCAUCGAAUCCAAAUCAAUGCCACAAACUUCUGUUGCUCAUCAUCAGCUGUUCUGUAAAGCAAAGACCCGUGACUCGAUGUUCAGAGGAGAUCCUAUAAAUAGAAAACUAUAACUCAGCAAACAUUGAUGUUAUUUUGUAUUUGUGAACAUUUAGUUUCACUUAUUCUCUUUAUAAUAACAAGUCUUCGUUCUGUUUGUCUCAACGAGUGUCCUGAUAAACGACCAGCAGGUGGCGCUGUUGCACAACACAACGCUCUUCUCUAUCAGGGCGUUUGACAUUUAACAAUAAAUGUUUUGACAUGUUUUUUAAAGUG